rnacentral:rRNA from 1 species
CCUACGGGUGGCAGCAGUGAGGAAUAUUGGUCAAUGGGCGCGAGCCUGAACCAGCCAAGUAGCGUGAAGGAUGACUGCCCUACGGGUUGUAAGCUUCUUUUAUAAAGGAAUAGAGUGAGGCACGUGUGCCUGUUUGUAUGUACUUUAUGAAUAAGGAUCGGCGAACUCCGUUCCAGCAGCCCCGGUAAUACGGAGGAUCCGAGCGUUAUCCGGAUUUGUUGGGUUUAAAGGGAGCGUAGAUGGGUUGUUAAGUCAGUUGUGAAAGUUUGCGGCUCAACCGUAAAAUUGCAAUUGAUACUGGCAGGCUUGAGUACAGUAGAGGUAGGCAGAAUUCGUGGUGUAGCGGUGAAAUGCUUAGAUAUCACGAAGAACUCCGAUUGCGAAGGCAGCUUACUAAACUGCCACUGACAUUGAUGCUCGAAAGUGUGGGUAUCAAACAGGAUUAGAUACCCGAGUAGUC